CUGUUGGGAUACCACCCUUGCAGUACUGGGUUUCUAACCAGCAGCCGUGAUCCGGCUGGGGGACAAUGUCAGGUGGGGAGUUUGACUGGGGCGGUCGCCUCCGAAAGGGUAUCGGAGGCGCUCAAAGGUUCCCUCAGAAUGGUUGGAAACCAUUCGAAGAGUGCAAAGGCAGAAGGGAGCUUGACUGCGACACCGACGGGUGGAGCAGGUACGAAAGUAGGACUUAGUGAUCCGGUGGUAUAAAGUGGGAUUGCCAUCGCUCAACGGAUAAAAGCUACCCUGGGGAUAACAGGCUUAUCACUCCCAAGAGUUCACAUCGACGGAGUGGUUUGGCACCUCGAUGUCGGCUCAUCGCAUCCUGGGGCUGAAGUAGGUCCCAAGGGUUGGGCUGUUCGCCCAUUAAAGCGGUACGCGAGCUGGGUUCAGAACGUCGUGAGACAGUUCGGUCCCUAUCCGGCGUGGGCGUAAGAUAUUUGAGAGGAGCUGUCCUUAGUACGAGAGGACCGGGAUGGACUGGCCGCUGGUGUAUCUGUUGUCUUACCAAAGGCAUAGCAGAGUAGCCAAGCCGGGAAGGGAUAAACGCUGAAGGCAUCUAAGCGUGAAGCCCCCCUCAAGAUGAGAUAUCUCAUAACGUCAAGUUAGUAAGACCCCUUGAAGACGACGAGGUAGAUAGGGCAGAGGUGGAAGUGUGGUAACACAUGGAGCUGACUGUUACUAAUAGGUCGAGGGCAUAACCAAA
rnacentral:rRNA from 1 species